UAAAAAUUAGUUAAUAUCAUAACAUAAGUCUGUCAUACUUAAAUUUCUAAUUAAGAAUUUUUAA
rnacentral:tRNA from 1 species